UUUUUUGUUUGUUUGUUUGAUACAGGGGAGGGGAAGCGGCCACCCGUGGUAAAUUAGAGUAGGGGAAGCCGCAGUCAUUUCGUCUCUAUCCAUUCCCCUCUCCCCCCUUCUCUCUCUAUCACUUUUACCUCUGUCAAAAUCUGAAGAUCUCUGCAGCAAACGAAGGAAUUGCGGUGCUGCUCAACGUCCAGCGAGAGUAUGGGGGACGCUGCUGAUGGAUAGCACACGAGCACUGACACGGAUGAAAAAGGAAGCGACCCUGAAAAUAAAACAGACAAUAGAAGUGCAGAAGGCAAAGAGCAGUGUCUUGGAUAUCCGGCGUUAGAAGAGAAAGAAUAUCAUGUAGAAAUCACUCACACGGAAGCAUGAGAGGGUUCGCUUUUUGAAGAAGUUGCUACAAUGGUUUGUAACCUUUUUCUAUAAAUAUUCAUGAUUUUUUUAGUUUUACUAGUUGAAACAGUGGGUUAACUAGGUAACACAGGAUGUUAACUAGCUGUGUCGCCAUGUCUCCAUACUCAUGCUAUAGUUUAAACUAGCUAAUACAUGAACUUUUGUUAACUAGCUACUUAAUGCAGGGAAGUUAACCAGCCGUGUCAACAUGUCUAUGUACUCUUGUAUAUAAACUAGGAAGAGGAGCAUCUGCAAGCUGCUAGUCAACUUUAGUACUGAAAAAUAUCUAUAAGUUGCUCUGAUCAA